CAGCCGCCGCGGUAAUACGUAGGGUGCGAGCGUUAAUCGGAAUUACUGGGCGUAAAGCGUGCGCAGGCGGUUGUGUAAGACAGGUGUGAAAUCCCCGGGCUUAACCUGGGAACUGCGCUUGUGACUGCACGGCUAGAGUAUGGCAGAGGGGGGUGGAAUUCCACGUGUAGCAGUGAAAUGCGUAGAGAUGUGGAGGAACACCGAUGGCGAAGGCAGCCCCCUGGGCCAAUACUGACGCUCAUGCACGAAAGCGUGGGGAGCAAACAGGAUUAGAUACCCCUGUAGUCCCUGUCUCUUAUAC
rnacentral:rRNA from 1 species